CCUACGGGUGGCUGCAGUGAGGAAUAUUGGUCAAUGGGCGCGAGCCUGAACCAGCCAAGUAGCGUGAAGGAUGACUGCCCUACGGGUUGUAAACUUCUUUUAUAAAGGAAUAAAGUGAGGCACGUGUGCCUUUUUGUAUGUAUUUUAUGAAUAAGGAUCGGCUAACUCCGUGCCAGCAGCCGCGGUAAUACGGAGGAUCCGAGCGUUAUCCGGAUUUAUUGGGUUUAAAGGGAGCGUAGAUGGGUUGUUAAGUCAGUUGUGAAAGUUUGCGGCUCAACUGUAAAAUUGCAGUUGAAACUGGCAGUCUUGAGUACAGUAGUGGUGGGCGGAAUUCGUGGUGUAGCGGUGAAAUGCUUAGCUAUCACGAAGAACUCCGAUUGCGAAGGCAGCUCACUGGACUGCAACUGACACUGAUGCUCGAAAGUGUGGGUAUCAAACAGGAUUAGAUACCCCAGUAGUC
rnacentral:rRNA from 1 species